rnacentral:rRNA from 1 species
CCAAAAAUGGUUUCCCCUUUAAAGACCGUCGGAUGUGGCCAAUCCUUUAUUUGAUAUAAAUUAUCAUGGGACUUUAUGGGUCACCAGUUAAAAAUUUUUGUUUGUCAAGACAUUGAGCACAUGUUCCUAUCAACGCCUGCGAUAAAUAUAGUGCCAGCAAUCGCGGUCAUACUUUGGCAGGCCAAAAGAUAUAAAGAACGUAAACAUACUCGCUUUAUGUAUUUUUAGUGAAAUAUAAUUAUCAUUAUACUAUGUUGUAUAAUAUGUAAAGGCUAAUUACAAACAGGGAUUAGAUACCCCUUUAUGUAGCACACAUAACUACGUUCUGAGGGUUAAACUCUCUUUUAUUUAAACUUAAUCAUCAUGGCGGUGGUUUAAAAAUUUUAGGGGAACUUACGAGGUAAAUGAUAACCAUCAAGCCAACCUACGGUUGGUUAUAUUUUGUAUACCGUCGUCGUAGGUAAUUUAUAAUAGAUUAUCACCUUUUAAGUACAAGAUAAGACAGAUCUAGGUGCAGACCAUCCUACCGUCUCCGCGAGUUACAAUAAAAAAUACAUUCAUCAACCACUUUUAAUUGUGCUAAAUGGAGGACUUAAAAGUAAUAAAUAUUAAGGAUAAUAUAUGAAUAUAACUUUAACCGUGC